UACAGAGGGGGCAAGCGUUAUUCGGAAUUAUUGGGCGUAAAGGGCGCGUAGGCGGCCUGGCAAGUGACGGGUGAAAUCCCUCGGCUUAACCGAGGAACUGCCUGUCAUACUGCCGUGCUUGAGGACUGGAGAGGAGACUGGAAUUUACGGUGUAGCGGUGAAAUGCGUAGAUAUCGUAAGGAAGACCAGUGGCGAAGGCGGGUCUCUGGACAGUUCCUGACACUGAGACACGAAGGCCAGGGGAGCAAACGGG
rnacentral:rRNA from 1 species